UACAUACAUAUUAUAUAUGUAUACUCACAGAACUAAUAUGGUAUUGUGGAGGUUUUUCCUAAAACAAACGGUAUUGUGACAUAGCCAUCAUUCUCAAAGUUGCUUAUUAACAGAACAUUAUGGAGAUAUAUUUUUCCCCCAUGCCUGAAGGUCUCCCUCAUUCAUUGUAACUGAUACAGAGAAUUCUGUAGUUUGAGCAUGGUUGAUUUAUCCACCCACCUCUUGAGGGUAGAAUCGAUUAAGACUGGUUUCAGUCUGUUGCUUGAAAAUAAAACACUACCCUGAAAUGCCUAGAGGCAGGGUUGCUGGGUCUAAGCCCCCAAACCUUUCUUAUUCACUUGACCUGCCCUCCUAGCUACCUGGUGUUCAAUGUCAUCCCCACGCUGGCCGACAUCAUCAUUGGCAUCAUCUACUUCAGCAUGUUCUUCAACGCCUGGUUUGGCCUCAUUGUGUUCCUGUGCAUGAGUCUUUACCUCACCCUGACCAUUGUGGUCACUGAGUGGAGAGCCAAGUUUCGCCGCGCUAUGAACACACAGGAGAACGCUACCCGGGCACGAGCAGUAGACUCUCUGCUAAACUUCGAGACGGUGAAGUAUUACAACGCCGAGAGUUAUGAAGUGGAACGCUAUCGAGAGGCCAUCAUCAAAUAUCAGGGUUUGGAGUGGAAGUCGAGCGCUUCACUGGUUUUACUAAAUCAGACCCAGAAC
rnacentral:sRNA from 1 species